AACGAACGCUGGCGGCAGGCUUAACACAUGCAAGUCGAGCGCCCCGCAAGGGGAGCGGCAGACGGGUGAGUAACGCGUGGGAACGUACCUUUUGGUUCGGAACAACUCCGGGAAACUGGAGCUAAUACCGGAUAAGCCCUAACGGGGAAAGAUUUAUCGCCGAAAGAUCGGCCCGCGUCUGAUUAGCUAGUUGGUGAGGUAACGGCUCACCAAGGCGACGAUCAGUAGCUGGUCUGAGAGGAUGAUCAGCCACACUGGGACUGAGACACGGCCCAGACUCCUACGGGAAGCAGCAGUGGGGAAUAUUGGACAAUGGGCGCAAGCCUGAUCCAGCCAUGCCGCGUGAGUGAUGAAGGCCUUAGGGUUGUAAAGCUCUUUUGUCCGGGAAGAUAAUGACUGUACCGGAAGAAUAAGCCCCGGCUAACUUCGUG
rnacentral:rRNA from 1 species